CCGUAACUAUAACGGUCCUAAGGUAGCGAAAUUCCUUGUCGGGUAAGUUCCGACCCGCACGAAAGGCGUAACGAUUUGGGCACUGUCUCAACGAGAGACUCGGUGAAAUCAUAGUACCGGUGAAGAUGCCGGUUACCCGCGACAGGACGGAAAGACCCCGUGGAGCUUUACUGUAGCCUGAUAUUGAAAUUCGGUACAGUUUGUACAGGAUAGGUAGGAGCCUUAGAAGCGUGAGCGCUAGCUUACGUGGAGGCAUUGGUGGGAUACUACCCUAAUUGUAUUGGAUUUCUAACCCGCAGCACUUAUCGUGCUGGGAGACAGUGUCAGGCGGGCAGUUUGACUGGGGCGGUCGCCUCCUAAAGAGUAACGGAGGCGCUCAAAGGUUCCCUCAGAAUGGUUGGAAAUCAUUCAUAGAGUGUAAAGGCAUAAGGGAGCUUGACUGCGAGACCUACAAGUCGAGCAGGGUCGAAAGACGGACUUAGUGAUCCGGUGGUUCCGCAUGGAAGGGCCAUCGCUCAACGGAUAAAAGCUACCCCGGGGAUAACAGGCUUAUCUCCCCCAAGAGUUCACAUCGACGGGGAGGUUUGGCACCUCGAUGUCGGCUCAUCGCAUCCUGGGGCUGUAGUCGGUCCCAAGGGUUGGGCUGUUCGCCCAUUAAAGCGGUACGCGAGCUGGGUUCAGAACGUCGUGAGACAGUUCGGUCCCUAUCCGUCGUGGGCGUAGGAAAUUUGAGAGGAGCUGUCCUUAGUACGAGAGGACCGGGAUGGACAUACCUCUGGUGUACCAGUUGUCGUGCCAACGGCAUAGCUGGGUAGCUAUGUAUGGACGGGAUAAGUGCUGAAAGCAUCUAAGCAUGAAGCCCCCCUCGAGAUGAGAUUUCCCAACUUCGGUUAUAAG
rnacentral:rRNA from 1 species